UGAGGAAUAUUGGUCAAUGGGCGAGAGCCUGAACCAGCCAAGUCGCGUGAAGGAAGACUGCCUUAUGGGUUGUAAACUUCUUUUAUACAGGAAUAAAAAGGCUUACGUGUAGGCCAUUGCAAGUACUGUAUGAAUAAGCAUCGGCUAACUCCGUGCCAGCAGCCGCGGUAAUACGGAGGAUGCGAGCGUUAUCCGGAUUUAUUGGGUUUAAAGGGUGCGCAGGCGGGCUUUUAAGUCAGCGGUGAAAUCUGGACGCUUAACGUCCAAACUGCCGUUGAAACUGGGAGUCUUGAGUAUGGAUGAAGUAGGCGGAAUUCGUUGUGUAGCGGUGACAUGCAUAGAUAUAACGAGGAACUCCGAUUGCGUAGGCAGCUUACUAAGCCAUAACUGACGCUCAUGCACGAAAGCGUGGGGAUCAAACAGGAUUAGAUACCCUGGUAGUCCACGCCGUAAAACGAUGAUUACUAGUUGUAUGCGAUAUGAUAGUAUGUGACUAAGCGAAAGCGAUAAGUAAUCCACCUGGGGAGUACGCCGGCAACGGUGAAACUUAAAUGAAUUGACGGGGUCAUAGCUG
rnacentral:rRNA from 1 species